GCUCUAGGUCUGCGGGAGGUGUAGAGGAUGAGGAUCUGCUGACAGUGAGGAGCCAAUGAUGUCUGGAUGUCAGACUCUGUAGAAAAGAUGGAGCUGGGGGAAGACCUGGUCUCUGGACCCGAUGAAGAAGAAAAGAUAACAGAAAAGAUAUUACUCAAGUCAGAAGACGUCACUCAGGAAAUGAAGUGUCCCAGAUCAGAUGGAGAACUGUACAGCUGUAUUGUGAAACCGCUGGCUGAAGGACGGCCAAAUGACUGCUUGGCGGUUAUUUUAUAUGAACCCUCACAUAACAUGGGGACAUGGAGUUCCAAUACAAUUCUGGCUUUGCUCUCAAAUCAGCAACGGUUAUUAAUCCUUGUUUUUGUCAGAAAUGUACAAUGAAUAAUACCCCCUCAUAUGGAGAACAUACUCUCCAAAGGACUCUUUUUUGCCA